rnacentral:rRNA from 1 species
GACUAACCUGUCUCUUAUGGGCAUUCAAUGAAACUGAUCUCUCAGUCCAAAAGCUAAGAUACUUACACCAGACGAGAAGACCCUGUGGAGCUUCCAAACCAAUACCAAUACCCAUGGUUAUACGGUUUUUAGUUGGGGCGACUUCGGAGAACAAAAAAACCUCCAACUAGGAAAUCCUCCUAAUUAAGAUUUACACAUCUAAAUAUUUACUUGACCCAGUAGGCAUUUCCCCAUCUGAUCAAGGAACCAAGUUACCCCAGGGAUAACAGCGCCAUCCUCUUUCAGAGUCCCCAUCGACAAGAGGGUUUACGACCUCGAUGUUGGAUCAGGACAUCCCAAUAGUGCAACCGCUAU